rnacentral:lncRNA from 1 species
CUCAAACUCGUCCUCUCUAAGCUCGUAGUGCUAUCCAAACAACACCUAAUGUGGAAGUCACUAUUCUAAAUUCGUGCUAUAUAUAUGAGUUAAACUUUGAGCUAUAACUACACACAUCUACAAAUCACAAGUAUUUCUUCUCUUUCUUUCUUUCAAUAUGAAGGGCGAUUAAAUGGGAGAUAGAUAGUUCUGGGGAGUUGCACCCGGAGUAAUUUCUUCAGCUUCUUUUUAGCGUUCUAUAUUUACCCCGGGUCACAGCUCCCUGGACCGAUCUAUCUCACAUGCAUAUACUUUAAAGCUUCCAAGUUAGUUAAAAAUUAAACAGAGAAUCCAAGCAGCAAGCUGCAGGCUGCUGCUAGAGAAAUGAUUGCAUCUCCUUAAAUUGGUCAGAUCCAUCCAUUUCUGAUUUCUGCACGUUAAUUUUUAUUUAUUUAUUUUUGUAAUUAUGUUCGGAGGUUCGCUUUUAAUACUUACAACUGUGGAUAAAAUCCUUUUCAUAUUGAUAUAUUUUUAUAUAUGCUCUUGCUUGCUGCAUACGAUCGAUGUGUAUAUGGUGAGGUUAAUUUAACUUUUACGGCCAUGGCCAGUAGUAUAUGCAAAAGAAAUUAUAUAACAAGCAAAUCCAUGCUUUUUUUUUUCUUUUUUGACAUUGCAUUAUGCCUUCAAAUCUGUAGAGCAUCAUGUUGGGAAAAUAUGCUCUUUAAAAGCAUAUGUGUUUAUUUAAUUGUAAUAAACAAUUUUUCUGAUUAAUAAAAUAAAUGAGGUAUUUUAUUCAAAUAUCUUAAUUGCAUUAAUAUUUGUAUUAAAGUCCAUUUAAUCAUAUUAUAUGUAUUUAUGUGAUCACCAUGUGGAUUCACAGAAGACAUAAAUACAAGUUAUCUUAUGAUUAAAUAAAUUUAGUUCGCAGUUGAUAAAUAAAGUUGGGCACUUUAUUUAGGUAUAGACUGUAAUAAAUUCAUUGAAUGAUUUGUCUUAAUCAUGUAUGAAUUUAUUGAUGUAGUACGACUACAUUGAACAGGAUCACAUAUGAGAUUUAAUUAACUUUGUAAUAACUGUCAGACUUAUUAAAUCUCAUAGGCGUUGAUUUUACUGUAAUCUUAAUCUUGAGUUAAUUAUGAUUUCAUGAUUGUGAUUGUUAUUUCAUUUGAGUUACCAAUGGGCACGACACAUCCUUGUGGUCAAGAUUACCCGGUAUCUUGGUGGGAGCAAUUAUGAGUAUUGGAGUUAUGGAUUAACAAUAUAGAAUUUGUACAACACAUCUCUUGAUAGGUUUUCGGUACUUGAUCAUAGAAUUCUCUGGCCAGAGUGUGUCAACAUAUUUAGUAUGUUGAAAAUGAUCAUUAGAGAAAACCAGUAAGGAUCAAGGAAUAAGAUGUUAUUAAAUUGAUUGGACAGUUGAGAUAUCAAUUUAAUUAACGAUGUGGUACAAAUGAUUGUGCAGUAAAGAAAUCAAUGUGGCUUGGGACGAAUUAUUAUUCGAGCAUACAAUUAUGGAAGUCAGUUCCAAUCUUUUAGUGGAGUAGAUUUGGAAUUAAAUAAUUGGGCUAGUUUAAUUACAGGCCUAAUUAUUGUAGCCACUAUUGUAUGUUCCCAAAUGAUCCCCGGGUUAGCUCAUUUAAUUGACUGCACCACUACUGGACUAAUAAGUAAGAUAACUAGCUAUUUGGGUCAAAAGCCUAAAUAUAUUAUUUAGUGGGAGGCUCCAUUUAAUUAGCUUUUGUAUAAGGGGCCUUAUGUUAUUUUACAAGGUGGGUCCCCUAUUGAAAAAGCAAAUAAACGUGAGUUUUGUUUUUUGAUUAUUUGGAGCCUAGGGUUUUCACUAAAGGGAGAUAUAUAAGGCUUAUUUUCUCUAAAGAAAAGAUAGGGAGGCCACUUUAUACAAAUCGGAGAAUAAGAUUUUUCUCUCUAUUGUUGAGAGAAAAAUUUUCUCGUGCUAGUUGCUUUGGUAGUGAGAACGGCGCCCACACGUCAAGUGCAGAUCGAACCUGAGUCAUAACCUGGAAGAUCAUUGGUGACAGUUCGUGAUCUAACAAGCGUGGUGGUGACGGAUCGUGAUCUAACAGGAGUGGUGGUGGCGGAUCGUGAUCUAGGAGCCUAAAUCACUUCAGCGGAAAAAGCCAACUCGGAUUUUCAAGGUACGAUUUCUAGAAUACAAAUUCUUAUAUAUUAUAUGAGAGCGAUCUUCAAAAGGUUUUAUAAAAAUUUAAAAACCUGAUUUUUCCCCAUCAAUUGGUAUCAGAGCCAUCUCAUAUUAAUAUAUAAGAAUAUUGUAUGAAAUCAUUCUUGAAAUUUAUGUAUUAGAGUGGCACAAUUUAUUCAGAUAUAUAUUAUUUGUUUAAUAUAUGAAUAAAGCAUGUUAUGGUUUGUCUUAAUUCAUGGUUAGAUUUUCCGAUGUAUUUUUUCUUUGGAUCUGUAACAAGAGGGGUGGUUUUUUAUCACCAUAAUUCCCUCUUGAUUUAUUUUACUGUAAUUGAAAUUUUGUAAGCCAAAAUUUGCGUUGAAAAUUUGUAAAUCACCGAAGCAUCAUCACUGGAAAACGAGCGCAAACAAUCGAGGCCGGAAAUUUCAGCAACGAGGGGCCAGCAGCACACGCUGCUGCGCGAGCAGCGCGCGCUGCAACGCAAGCGUGCACGCAGCAGCAGCGCGCAGCAGCCAGCGCGCGCGGGAAGCGUGGCUUGUGCGCGCAGCACGCGAUGGCACAGGCUGCUCGCGCAGCAAACAGCGCGCGCGGCCAGCAGCGCGCGCGAGUUUGAUGCGUUUCCGGCGACGCGGUGGCAGGUGGUUCGAUGUCGGAGAUGCGUCGGAGGUCGGCUGGCAUCUGAACAGUGGUGGAGGUUUUUGUGCUGGUGGCGGCUGGGGAAGAAGAGGAAAAGAAAAAUGUGAUUUUAGGGUUCCAUGGUUUUUAUCGUGGAGAUCCCUAUAGCUUCAUAUUUUUCAGUUGGGCAGAAACGUUUUUAAUUUUUUGCAUUUAAGUCCAAAAACCGUUUUGGGCUUAAAGAAUCCUAGUUUUAGGCCCAAUUUCAAUUGGGCUUAAUGGAUUAAAAAAUGCAUAGACAAAAUUAAAUACAUUAAAUUUAUUUUUGGUCCAAAAGUUUUAUUUUAAUAAAAUAAAAAAUUAAUUAUUUAUUUAUUUCUUUUCAAAAUUAAAAUUGGACCAAUUAUAAAUUUAAAAGCCCAAUUUCCCCUAGUCCAUUAACAAAGACAAGAUUAUGGAAGAUGGACAUUGACAAGAAGCCCAAUGAAGAUUAGGCUUAGGGUUAAUGUAUUUUUCAUUAUUAGGAAAGCCAUGAAUUAAGAUUAUUUAAUUGUUUUUCUAUAUGUUAUGUUUUGGAUGAUAACAUGCCAUGAUAACAUGUCAUAUAGAAUAGGUAGUGCCACUCUAUGCAUAAUGAUACAUGUCAUUCAUUAAUAAUGAAUUUCAUUAUAUUGUUUGAAAUUUGUAUAUGCUUAAUAAUAUUUGAUAUCAUCUAGAUAAUAUUAUAGGAAGCAUGCAAUUAACAAUAUGUAUGUUUUAAAAAGGAAAAACCAAUUUUAAAAUAUUGAGUGGGAGAGGGAAAAUUCAAGAUAAUUUUCCCACGGGCUCCAUUGUUAGUUCAAUAAUAAAAUUAUAUAUAUACCUCGACUUCAUGAUACGGUGAUGCUCCCUUCGGAGGGUAUAUAUAUUAGAUAUUUUAUUUGAUGAACUUCUUCAAAGAUAAAAUUGAAAUAUUUUUCAAUCGAUUGUUCACCCCAACGGUGACUAUUGAUAUGAAAAAUACGUAGAUUGAAACAAUGGUUAUACACUCAACUAAAGUUUGUUAUUAACCUUCCCAACGAAGCUCUGUUAACAAAUUUAGGUCCAAAGGGAUAACGAUAAUUAUUUAUCAUGUCUCUACAUGAAAGUAAAUAAUCCAAUGGAUAAUUGGGUCUAGUAAGUGUAGACAUGACUUCCCCAACGGAUAGCUUGUCAAAGCGGUACUAGAUUAUCGUUACAAUAAAUUAAAAUGCAUUUAUGGUUUUUUGCAUUUUUGUCAUUUAUUGUGAAUAUUGUUUCAAAGUAUUUAUGCAUGUGUAUUUUGUUUUUUCAGAAAAUGUCUUCCAUCAACCCAUUAUUAUUUAUCCUUGUUAAAAAUGAACUCACUGGCGAAAAUUAUUUAGAUUGGAAACGCAAUCUAUUUAAUAUUCUCACUGCUAAGGGAAGCAAAUAUGUGUUGACCCAGCCUUGCCCUCCUGAACCAUCGUUAUACGAUUAUAGAAAUCAGAGGGAGCCUUAUGAGAAAUGGUGCGAAGCUAACAAAAUGGCUAAGCGCUAUAUAUUGGCUUCGAUUUCUGUGGAACUGCAUAAGAAACAUCGGAGCAUGGAAACAGCCACUGAAAUAAUGGCUAGUCUUCAUCAGAUGUUUGGGCAAAAUACCCAUUUUGCCAGAGAAGCAGCAUUGAAACGUAUUACGGAUACUCAGAUGGAAGAGGGCACAAAAGUUCGUGAUCAUGUCCUCAAAAUGAUGGACUAUUUGAAUGAGGUAGAGAUUCAUGGUGUUCAAAUCAAUGAUAAAUCAAAGAUUAACAUGGUGAUUGAAUCUUUACCUGAUACAUUCAAAGAGUUUAAGGUCAGCUAUAUCUUAAACAAUAAAGAUAUGACCUUAAUUGAAUUAAUGCACGAACUACAUGCUAUAGAAGAAUUUUAUCAUAGCAGAAAACUUCCUGAAAAAGGAUUCUCUUCAAGGCUUAAGUCAAAAGACAAGAAUGAGCAAGCAAGAGUUGGGAUCGGCAAACUGUCCAUUAAAAGAAGUGGCAAGCCAAAAGGCAAGUGUUACAAAUGUGGACAGAAGGGUCACUGGAAGAAAGAUUGUCCUAAGAUUAUUAAAAUCAGGUAUAGGAAAUCUUUAAGCUUCCUAAUUAGUUCAGAUUUCUAUUGAUUCAUACAAUAAUGAAUUCUGAGAUAACUAAUCUUAUUUGUAAUUCAUUUAUUUGGUUUUCAGGAAACCAAGAGAUUAAGUGAAGAAAGCUUCAAAUAGCAGUUGAGGAUGUGCUAGUUUAUAUCAAUUGAAAGACUAGAUCAAUUUUACAAGACUUUAGUUUUGAUAUUUGUCUUUAUUUUUCCAAAUAUUAGAGGAAUUUAAUUUCAGUGGCUUGUUUUAAUAAACAGGAGUACACUGUUAUUUUUGGAUCCUCUGUUUAUUACUUAUUUUGGUUAUUUAUAAAGACAAUUUAUAUCAUAAAAGUACAUUGAUCUAUUCAAAGUAAGAUAUAAUGAUUAAAAGUAUAUGCAUUUAUCUAAGAAAAGAAAUGUUUCUUCUAACCAAAAAUCACCUCUGAUAGUUAUGCUUAAGUCAUAUAAACUAUAAUAAGAUUUUAAGAAAAUGAUUAAUGAUAGACUUGUUGGCCUAUUAAGAUUGAUCAUUGUAACUCUAUAAAUCUUAUUUAGAAAAGUAAUAUGACAAGGAUACUCUUUAUGAGCUAAAAGCAUAACAUUGUAUUUGAUGAUUUAGCGCAUACAAAUGUAUACGGACUAAUCAGUUUACAUGUUAUAAGAGGUUAUGAGUAUUCUAUCAAUCUAGUUGAUGAAUAUUCAUUUUAUGUUUGUCUAAAUGAGUCAUGAUUCCAUUGCUUUUGAAAUUCAAAAGAGUACGUGAAUAAGACAGAAGCAAUUAGACAGGAACAUAAAAGAAUUUCGAUAUGAUCGAAACAAAGAAUAUCUCUAUGGAGAAUUCAAGCACUAUUUGGUUGUCAAUGAACACUAUGAUACAAUAGUGUAAUUAAAUGGAGAAACAAGAUUCUUUUGGAUAAGACAAGAUAUAUACUAAGUGGUUUAUCAUUUACCUUUUUGAUUCCAGAUACUAGUAUUUGAAACUACAAAGUUUAUUGAACUUAGUUUCAUCUAUCUCGGUGUCCACUACUCCAAGAAAUUAUGAAAAAGUCACAAACAUGGUUUGAGACACAUUCGUAUUUGGAGUUUACUAGUAUUUCUACUAGAAUCAGAGAUAGAGAAGAUGGAUUCGUGUUCAGAAGCUUGCAUGUUUUAGGUAUCUCAAAGGAAUAAGGGAAAGUCUGAAUUAUAGUCCUCAAGAUAGGAAUGUAUUUAUAGAAAUAUUUUUUACUUUCUUUGAGGAAGACUAUAUAAUGACUUAUAACCUAAGAGUAAGGUAAAACUAGAGAAAUAAAAGAGAUCAGGUUGAUGCUCAGCUUUCAACACCUGUUAUAGAACAGGAAGAACAGCAACAACCAGCUGAUCAGCACAGGAUUAUCCUUGAACAAUCAUCACUUUUAGAACCUCGUCGUAGUGGGAGGGUAACUAGGUUACCUGCAAGAUACAUGUUUUUGGGAGAAACCUAUAAGGCUAUCUCAGAUGAACAUGUACAAGAUCCCACUAGUUACAACGAAGCUCUAAUAGAUAGAGAUGAUGAAUUUUGAAAAAGGCCAUGAAUCAAGAAAUGGAAUCUAUGUAUUCCAAUAAAGUCUGGGAACUUGUAGAGGCACCAAAUGGGGUAAAACCUAUAGGGUGCAAGUGGAUCUACAAGAGAAAAAGAGGAGUAGACGGAAGGGUGGAAACAUUUAAAGCAAGAUUAGUAGCCGAAGGGUUUACUCAGAAAGAAGGAAUCAAUUAUGAGGAAACCUUUUCUCCGGUUGCUAUGCUUAAAUCCAUCAGGAUUCUGCUCUCCAUUGCUGCAGUGCUAGAUUAUGAAAUUUGGCAAAUGGAUGUCAAGACUGCCUUUCUUAACAGGCAUCUUGAAGAAAACAUCUACGUACAGCAACCAGAUGGAUUUAUACAAAAAAGGCCAAGAACACAUGGUAUGUAAGUUGCAGAGAUCUAUUUAUGGAUUGAAGCAAGCAUCCCAGUCAUGGAACAUCAGAUUUGAUCAAGCGAUUAAAUCACUUGGAUUCAUUCAGAACAUUGAUGAACCAUGUGUGUACAAGAAAAUUCAGGGAAAAUUUGUAGCCUUCCUAGUUCUUUGUGUAGACAAUAUUCUCCUGAUUGGAAACGAUAUAGGAGUAUUGACUACAAUAAAGAUUUGGUUAGCAAAACAAUUUGAUAUGAAAGACCUGGGAGAGACAAGUUAUAUUCUUGGUAUCAAGUUACUAUGAGACCGGAAGAAUAAAACUUUAGCCUUGUCUCAAGCGGUCUAUAUCGAUAAGAUAUUGGCUAGAUUUAGUAUGGAAAAUUCCAAGACUGGUUUAUUACCAUUCAGACAUGGAAUUACAUUCUCUAAGGAUCAAUCACCUAAAACAUCUGAAGAGAUAGAGAGAAUGAGACGAGUUCCCUAUGCAGAAGCUGUGGGAAGUCUCAUGAAUGCCAUGCUUUGCACUAGGCCAGACAUCUGUUUUGCGGUAGGGAUGGUUAGUAGAUAUCAAUCUAAUCCUGGACCUGAACAUUGGACUGCGGUCAAGCAUAUAAUGAAGUAUCUGAAAAGAACUUAAAAUUAUAUGCUUGUGUAUUCUGGUGAUGAACUUAUUCUAGUGGGUUAUACUAAUUCUGAUUUUUUGUCAGAUAAGGAUUUUAGAAAAUCAACUUCCGGCUAUGUGUUUACAUUGGGAAGUGGAGCUACUAGUUGGAUGAGAGUGAAACAAUCUUGUAUCACAGACUCAACAACUAAAGCUGAAUAUGUGGCUACAUCUGAAGCUGCAAAAGAAGCUAUAUGGCUCUGCAAGUUCCUACGAAAUCUUGAGGUGGUACCUGUUGUAACUGCACCCCUUAAACUAUUUUGUGAUAAUGGUGGUGCGGUAGCUCAAUCUAAGGAACCAAGGAACCACAAGAAACAAAACAUAUUGAAAGGAAGUAUCAUCUUAUAAGGGAAUAGUGUAGAAAGGUUAUAUGACAGUACCCCAAAUGGCAUUAGAUGCUAAAUGGCAGAUCUUAUUACAAUGGCCAUUAGUGGGAAACCUUUAUAACCUGCACUUAGAGCCCUAGAGCAUGUGCAAUAUGCCAGAUAUGCUUUGAGAGCUAGUGGGAGAUUGUUGGGAAAAUAUGCUCUUUAAAAGCAUAUGUGUUUAUUUAAUUGUAAUAAACAAUUUUUCUGAUUAAUAAAAUAAAUGAGGUAUUUUAUUCAAAUAUCUUAAUUGCAUUAAUAUUUGUAUUAAAGUCCAUUUAAUCAUAUUAUAUGUAUUUAUGUGAUCACCAUGUGGAUUCACAGAAGACAUAAAUACAAGUUAUCUUAUGAUUAAAUAAAUUUAGUUCGCAGUUGAUAAAUAAAGUUGGGCACUUUAUUUAGGUAUAGACUGUAAUAAAUUCAUUGAAUGAUUUGUCUUAAUCAUGUAUGAAUUUAUUGAUGUAGUACGACUACAUUGAACAGGAUCACAUAUGAGAUUUAAUUAACUUUGUAAUAACUGUCAGACUUAUUAAAUCUCAUAGGCGUUGAUUUUACUGUAAUCUUAAUCUUGAGUUAAUUAUGAUUUCAUGAUUGUGAUUGUUAUUUCAUUUGAGUUACCAAUGGGCACGACACAUCCUUGUGGUCAAGAUUACCCGGUAUCUUGGUAGGAGCAAUUAUGAGUAUUGGAGUUAUGGAUUAACAAUAUAGAAUUUGUACAACACAUCUCUUGAUAGGUUUUCGGUACUUGAUCAUAGAAUUCUCUGGCCAGAGUGUGUCAACAUAUUUAGUAUGUUGAAAAUGAUCAUUAGAGAAAACUAGUAAGGAUCAAGGAAUAAGAUGUUAUUAAAUUGAUUGGACAGUUGAGAUAUCAAUUUAAUUAACGAUGUGGUACAAAGGAUUGUGCAGUAAAGAAAUCAAUGUGGCUUGGGACGAAUUAUUAUUCGAGCAUACAAUUAUGGAAGUCAGUUCCAAUCUUUUAGUGGAGUAGAUUUGGAAUUAAAUAAUUGGGCUAGUUUAAUUACAGGCCUAAUUAUUGUAGCCACUAUUGUAUGUUCCCAAAUGAUCCCCGGGUUAGCUCAUUUAAUUGACUGCACCACUACUGGACUAAUAAGUAAGAUAACUAGCUAUUUGGGUCAAAAGCCUAAAUAUAUUAUUUAGUGGGAGGCUCCAUUUAAUUAGCUUUUGUAUAAGGGGCCUUAUGUUAUUUUACAAGGUGGGUCCCCUAUUGAAAAAGCAAAUAAAUCGUGAGUUUUGUUUUUUGAUUAUUUGGAGCCUAGGGUUUUCACUAAAGGGAGAUAUAUAAGGCUUAUUUUCUCUAAAGAAAAGAUAGGGAGGCCACUUUAUACAAAUCGGAGAAUAAGAUUUUUCUCUCUAUUGUUGAGAGAAAAAUUUUCUCGUGCUAGUUGCUUUGGUAGUGAGAACGGCGCCCACACGUCAAGUGCAGAUCGAACCUGAGUCAUAACCUGGAAGAUCAUUGGUGACAGUUCGUGAUCUAACAAGCGUGGUGGUGACGGAUCGUGAUCUAACAGGAGUGGUGGUGGCGGAUCGUGAUCUAGGAGCCUAAAUCACUUCAGCGGAAAAAGCCAACUCGGAUUUUCAAGGUACGAUUUCUAGAAUACAAAUUCUUAUAUAUUAUAUGAGAGCGAUCUUCAAAAGGUUUUAUAAAAAUUUAAAAACCUGAUUUUUCCCCAUCACAUCAACCUAGCAAUUCUUGGUUUAUAUUUUGCAGUUUAUGCUUAAAUGAGGAAAGACGGGAUCAUCACAGGAGAUCGAAGAAGAGAAAGAGGAUUUGAUGUUUUGUGGCUUUUUUCAAGAUGAAAUCAAGGUUGUUUGUAAACUGAGAGGGAGUCCAUCAAGAAUAGUACUAUGGAUUUAAUUAAUUUAAGGACUUGUAUGUAGAAUAUUUUCUAUCUCCUAUGGAUAUAAUUAAUUUAAGGACUUGUAUGUAGAAUAUUUUCUAUCGUGCAUGUUAUUGCAAAACAAUUGUAAAUUUGUAUGGUCCGGAUUUAUUUACACGUUUGUUAUAUUAAAGAGUUCUAGAAUGCCUAAUAGUGGGCUGGUGUUGAAAUUAUCAGUUCAAUCCUACGUGAAGGCUCUUUCCCCCUUCCUGAAAAAAUGUGGAAUUUGCUCACAUAUUGGAGUAGAUUUUGGAGCUCGGCGAACUUCAAAAUAUCAAGUCAAGGAAAUUGGUAUAGGAACAAUAGUCUCCAUUUUGAAAUCACCAAGAUUUCAUAAUCUUGGUGAUUUCAUAAUAUAGAGCAUGAAAGUAAAUAUUAAGAGAAGGUUUUGUCAUUCUUUUUUUCCCCAAUGCUUAAAUUUACUGAUGAAUUGAUUUAAUAUAGAUU